GAAAACCAAUUUAAAAUGAAAGAGCAUGAAGUCAGCAUCUUGAAAGAAAAAUAUGCCUUUCUCCUAGUGCUCCCAAGUUCAGCAAGUGGCUCCACUAUCAGUCAACAGAUGUGUAAAUCAGACACCUGGAAUCUACUCAGACAACAUUCUUUCCUGAGGGUGUAUAAGCGGUUAUCACAAGUUUACAGAGUUGUAAGUGCAUUAAAAAUAACAAGUAUUAAACUGCAAGUGCUUUUCAAGUCUCCACUAGUGCUACAUUGACCCAGAGACUUCAUUUCAUACAACCAAUGAAAGUGCCCAAGACUGUGAUUCAGAGACCUCUACUGGCUUUGAAGAAACCAGGGAGGAAACCGUGCCGAUGGUCCUGAUGACCAGCUGCUUGCAGACAAAGUGGACGACUCUCAGGUGACGGGCAGAAGCUACUAGAAGCUACUAUAUUAGGUUCUGGCACCUGCUCAAAACUCAGGCAAGUC